rnacentral:rRNA from 1 species
UACGGGGGGGGCAAGCGUUGUUCGGAAUUACUGGGCGUAAAGGGCUCGUAGGCGGCCAACUAAGUCAGACGUGAAAUCCCCAGGCUUAACCUGGGAACUGCGUCUGAUACUGGAUGGCUUGAAUUCGGGAGAGGGAUGCAGAAUUCCAGGUGUAGCGGUGAAAUGCGUAGAUAUCUGGAGGAACACCGGUGGCGAAGGCGGCCAUCUGGCUCAACAUUGACGCUGAGGCACGAAAGCGUGGGGAGCAAACAGG